AAUGGAUAUUGUGCCUAAACUGGGUUUGAUCUUCAUGUUUGCUCUCACAGAAUUCUGUUGGUGUCAGACACUGACUGAGUCUGAGUCAGUGGUCAUUAAACCUGGAGGAUCUCACAGACUCACCUGUACAGCAUCUGGAUUUAGUGGUGACCCGUACUUAGCUUGGAUCAGACAGACUGCAGGAGGAGGUCUGGAGUGGCUGGCAUACAUCUCUAGUGGUGGUACUAUAUACUACUCUCAGUCUGUCCAGGGACACUUCACCAUCUCCAGAGAAAACAGCAAGAAACAGAUGUAUCUGCAGAUGAAUAAUAUGAAGAAUGAAGACACUGCUGUAUAUUAUUGUGCAAGACAGACACAGUGAUGAAUACAGCUACAGCACUGCACAAAAUCUGAAAACAACCAUAUAAACAGCUCACUAUAUAAAACUUCAGUGAAUAAAUUAAUUAAACUAAUUAGAUUUUUGCUUACACAAUGCUAUCAAAUAUCUGCAGGAGACUUUGCAUGGAGGCAUGAGUCAUAUGUACUAAUUUAAUGAUGCAUUUAGUGAAG